CAGCCGCGGUAAUACAGAGGGUGCGAGCGUUAAUCGGAUUUACUGGGCGUAAAGCGUGCGUAGGCGGCUUCUUAAGUCGGAUGUGAAAUCCCUGAGCUUAACUUAGGAAUUGCAUUCGAUACUGGGAAGCUAGAGUAUGGGAGAGGAUGGUAGAAUUCCAGGUGUAGCGGUGAAAUGCGUAGAGAUCUGGAGGAAUACCGAUGGCGAAGGCAGCCAUCUGGCCUAAUACUGACGCUGAGGUACGAAAGCAUGGGGAGCAAACAGGAUUAGAUACCCGCGUAGUCCCUGUCUCUUAUACACA
rnacentral:rRNA from 1 species